rnacentral:rRNA from 1 species
AUUGAACGCUGGCGGCAGGCCUAACACAUGCAAGUCGAACGGUAACAGGAAGAAGCUUGCUUCUUUGCUGACGAGUGGCGGACGGGUGAGUAAUGUCUGGGAAACUGCCUGAUGGAGGGGGAUAACUACUGGAAACGGUAGCUAAUACCGCAUAACGUCGCCAGACCAAAGAGGGGGACCUUCGGGCCUCUUGCCAUCGGAUGUGCCCAGAUGGGAUUAGCUAGUAGGUGGGGUAACGGCUCACCUAGGCGACGAUCCCUAGCUGGUCUGAGAGGAUGACCCGCUACACUGGAACUGAGAAACGGUCCAGACUCCUACGGGAGGCAGCAGUGGGGAAUAUUGCACAAGGGGCGCAAGCCGGAUGCAGCCAAGCCGCGUGUAUGAAGAAGGACUUCGGGUUGUAAAGUACUUUCAGCGGGGAGGAAGGGAGUAAAGUUAAUACCUGUACUCAUUGACGUUACCCGCAGAAGAAGCACCGGCUAACUCCGUG